AGCUUUGCGCAGUGGCAGUAUCGUAGCCAAUGAGGUUUAUCCGAGGCGCGAUUAUUGCUAAUUGAAUGAAUGAAUAUGGACUUACAAAUUUUGGCUUUGAAAUUAAAGCAGCUUUUAUCUUUUGUAUCCAAGAAGAGUUU